GUACAAAUCAGAGAUUUGCCUAAGCUAAUGUAAGGAAGCAGGGACCAGCCCCAAGAAAGCGAGCUGGCAGGGGGUAGCUGAGAGAGUCCAAGCCUCCAGUUCCUGAGGCUGGGGGGCAAGGGGCUGGGCCCUAGAUUCAAUGAGGUUACAGCUAGGAACUGGGGACAUGAGGAAAAGGCCUAUGAAGUAAUCUGACUAUGUAUCCUGGGCAUGAGCCUGCUAGCAGAGAUGAAUAAGGCUGAAGAAGCAAGUCCCUGGAGAGAAAGGAAGAGAUGAGAGAGACCCCCAAGUUGUGUGAUCACCUCCAGCACACUGGAGACUGAGCCGUUUCACAAGAUGAAGUAAAUCUCCUGUCAAAGGAUUGGAGAGAAGGAACCAACCGUCUUUCACUCACCCACUUAGAACCUUCUGGAAGCCCUGACUGCCUUGCUGUAAGGUCGGCUGAAUGGAAAGAGACAAAGGCUGUUGGCCCUGAUAACAGAGGACAUGGAGAACACUGACGGGCCAGCACAGAGAGGUGUCAAACCUACAUUGCAGCCUGAAGGAUGUCUUCACUUCCUCCUGCUCCUUCGCCUUGUAUCCUUCAUAGAUUUUUCCCGCAAUAAAACUUUGCA
rnacentral:lncRNA from 1 species